rnacentral:rRNA from 1 species
GACGAACGCUGGCGGCGUGCCUAAUACAUGCAAGUAGAACGCUGAAGGAGGAGCUUGCUUCUCUGGAUGAGUUGCGAACGGGUGAGUAACGCGUAGGUAACCUGCCUGGUAGCGGGGGAUAACUAUUGGAAACGAUAGCUAAUACCGCAUAAUAUUGACUAUUGCAUGAUAGUCAGUUGAAAGGUGCAACUGCACCACUACCAGAUGGACCUGCGUUGUAUUAGCUAGUUGGUGGGGUAACGGCUCACCAAGGCGACGAUACAUAGCCGACCUGAGAGGGUGAUCGGCCACACUGGGACUGAGACACGGCCCAGACUCCUACGGGAGGCAGCAGUAGGGAAUCUUCGGCAAUGGACGGAAGUCUGACCGAGCAACGCCGCGUGAGUGAAGAAGGUUUUCGGAUCGUAAAGCUCUGUUGUAAGAGAAGAACGAGUGUGAGAGUGGAAAGCUCACACUGUGACGGUAUCUUGCCAGAAAGGGACGGCUAACUACGUG